rnacentral:rRNA from 1 species
CUUGUUGGCUACAGGCGACGACGGGUAGCCGGCCUGAGAGGGUGACCGGCCACAUUGGGACUGAGACACGGCCCAGACUCCUACGGGAGGCAGCAGUGGGGAAUAUUGCACAAUGGGCGAAAGCCUGAUGCAGCGACGCCGCGUGGGGGAUGACGGCCUUCGGGUUGUAAACCUCUUUCACCAGGGACGAAGCGUAAGUGACGGUACCUGCAGAAGAAGCACCGGCCAACUACGUGCCGGCAGCCGCGGGG